rnacentral:rRNA from 1 species
AUUGAACGCUGGCGGCAGGCCUAACACAUGCAAGUCGAGCGAGCGGCGGACGGGUGAGUAAUGUCUGGGGACUGCCCGAUAGAGGGGGAUAACUACUGGAAACGGUGGCUAAUACCGCCUCCUGUCGGCUAUCCCCUAUGGGAUUAGCUAGUUGGUAAGGUAAUGGCUGACCUAGGCGACGAUCCCUAGCUGGUCUGAGAGGAUGACCAGCAAAACUGGGACUGAUACAGGGCCCAGACUCCUACGGAGGCAGCAGUGGGGAAUAGUGCACAAUGGGCGCAAGCCUGAUGCAGCCAUGCCGCGUGUAUGAAGAAGGCCCUAGGGUUGUAAAGUACUUUCAGUCGGGAGGAGUUACCGACAGAAGAAGCACCGGCUAACUCCGUGCCAGCAGCCGCGGUAAUAC